UACGUAGGGUGCGAGCGUUGUCCGGAAUUAUUGGGCGUACAGAGCUUGUAGGUGGCUCGUUGCGUCGGGAGUGAAAACCUGCGGCUUAACCGCAGGCCUGCUUCCGAUACGGGCGAGCUAGAGUUCGGCAGGGGAGACUGGAAUUCCUGGUGUAGCGGUGGAAUGCGCAGAUAUCAGGAGGAACACCGGUGGCGAAGGCGGGUCUCUGGGCCGAUACUGACACUGAGGAGCGAAAGUGUGGGGAGCGAACAGG
rnacentral:rRNA from 1 species